GACGAACGCUGGCGGCGUGCUUAACACAUGCAAGUCGAGCGAGGCCCUCCUUCGGGGGGUGUCCUAGCGGCGAACGGGUGAGUAACACGUGGGCAGCCUGCCCUCAGCUCUGGGAUAACUCCAAGAAAUUGGGGCUAAUACCGGAUAUGACCGCUGACCGCAUGGUCUGGUGGUGGAAAGAUUUAUCGGCUGGGGAUGGGCCCGCGGCCUAUCAGCUUGUUGGUGGGGUAGUGGCCUACCAAGGCGACGACGGGUAGCCGGCCUGAGAGGGUGACCGGCCACACUGGGACUGAGACACGGCCCAGACUCCUACGGGAGGCAGCAGUGGGGAAUAUUGCGCAAUGGGCGGAAGCCUGACGCAGCGACGCCGCGUGGGGGAUGACGGCCUUCGGGUUGUAAACCUCUUUCAGCAGGGACGAAGCGAAAGUGACGGUACCUGCAGAAGAAGCACCGGCCAACUACGUGCCAGCAGCCGCCGAACAC
rnacentral:rRNA from 1 species